GGGGAUGAUAGGCCUCGAUAGGAGCACUUUUUAAAAUAUGCGAUCUGAGUAUUCUAAAAUCUCAUUAAACUUUUAGAAAAAGAAUAAGUGCCAACUUGUUCAACAAACAACCUGCUUUAGCUAUUGCUUAAAGCACAUCUUUCUUGGUGAUUCUCGAUAGCCAAAUAAAGGUGUCAAAAAAUCGAGAUAGGCUGCAUAUUUUCGGGGAUGCGGCCGAGAUAAACCGAAUGCGGUUUGGAUUCAUUUUGUCUAAUUUUAAGUUUCCUAACCUAAGAGGCAAAAUUAGGAUAUGAUCGUAGAAAUAAUUUGAAAAACGCUAACUAGACGCGGGUUCAAUUCCCGCCAUCUCCACCG
rnacentral:tmRNA from 1 species